rnacentral:rRNA from 1 species
CAAUAGCGUAUAUUAAAGUUGUUGCAGUUAAAAAGCUCGUAGUUGGAUUUGUGGCGUACGGUGUGUUCCGGGCACUUGUUGUCUGAGUAACCUGCUGUUGCCAUCCUUGGGUGGAACCUGUGUGGCAUUAGUUUGUCGUGCAGGGGAUGCCCAUCAUUUACUGUGAAAAAAUUAGAGUGUUCAAAGCAGGCUUAUGCCGUUGAAUAUAUUAGCAUGGAAUAAUGAGAUAGGACUUUUUUGCUAUUUUGUUGGUUUGCGCAAAGAGGUAAUGAUUAAUAGGGACAGUUGGGGGUAUUCGUAUUCCAUUGUCAGAGGUGAAAUUCUUGGAUUUUUGGAAGACGAACUACUGCGAAAGCAUUUACCAAGGAUGUUUUCAUUAA